UUGGUGAUUUUUUUUUCAUUUUUUU
rnacentral:sRNA from 1 species